rnacentral:lncRNA from 1 species
AGUACGCUAAGUUACAAGAACUACUCCUAAGAAAGCAAAAAAUUCGAGAAAGAAAGAUGUAGGAAAAUAAAGGUGGUUUUUUGUGCGCAGGGGCGAAGACCUAUUUUUUGGGUAUUAUUGCCUUAUUUAUAGAUAGACCUCCUCGGUCAGUUAUUGUUCUUACAUGAUCGGCCACUAUUUCCUCAUAUUCCGGACCACUUCUAGCCGAUCGGAACCGUAUGUAACUGCUUGCGGUUACCGUAACUUCCUUCAAUUGGUGCGCUACAU